UUUUUUUUUUUUUUUUUUUUUUUUUUGAUCUGGAAUGCUUUGGGAAACAGAAAUCUGAAUUAGUCAUGUAGUUAGGUUUUGCGUAAAGAUUGAGGUAGCCUCACAGACAGGGCACAGUGAGGCCGGGAGGGCUAAGUUUAGGCCCAGUUCCCUCAACUGGUUCUUGGAAAGAGUGAGUUCGCCCAUCAGGAGGAGGGCCGGAGUCUGAGCAGAGUGCCGAGGGGUGGGAGGGGCUGAUGGCUUGUGCCCAGCAGGCUGGCUUUUUCCUUUCAGGGAUGGAGAAUCUUGGGCUGAGGAACCUGGGAAGCCGAGCAGGGGAGGGGGUGCCCCUGCGUGGAGGGUUGAACAGCUUAUCAACGCCUUUUGUGGGAUUGGAUGCUCGUGCCCUCCAGCAGGAGUAGGAGGGAACUGCAGAGUGGCCCUUCUGACUCCUGUUGUCUCUCUGUCCCGGGAGCCUGGACUAGGGGAACAUGGGAGUUUCUUUCGGGGGGGGGGGGGGGGGGAGUUCCUGCCGGGGACCAGGUGAUAGUGGGGCCGGCAGCUGUUUUGAGCUUUCCUGCCCUCACUGAAACAAGAUAACCCCCAGAGUUUGCCCUGUCUCUGCUCCCCUCCCCACUAAACCAAUUAAGGCAGGAGGUUAAUGACCAAAAAAGCCUUGGGGAUUUGGUCAGGGAAGAAAACAAAGUGCAGAACCGUGAGUGGGGACAGGAUGGCUGCUAAAGGGGCAAGGGACACGCUGAAGGUGGAGUGGGUAAGGUGGCACCCCACUGGACCCACAUUUCCCCACUGGAGCCCCCUAUGCAUCAGGGAUGCAUCAGCCCUCAGGGUUUCUUAUCGCACACACCCACACACAAAAGGUCAUGCUCUGACUCCAGACAUCCUCCAAGGCCCGACAGAGCACAUGUAAGCUUGUGAGCUUGGAGGGCAAGGUAUGUGUGGAUGACUCAGGUGUAGCCCCGGGAACAGGUGUCUGCAGAGCUGACAGGUGCAGAGGAGCUGUGGGGGCAAGGAAACUGCUCUUGCUCCUGAAGCUGAGGCCUCCUUUGUACAGGCUAAUGCUACCCAGGCUAGGCUGCUGUGCACCGGCCCUGCUUAGCUUCCCUGCCCUAGUGGCCAUCCUCACUGAGGGCUAUGAGGGCAGAGGCCUGUCUCAUGCCACUCCCUCUACUCUGCCCUGUGACAGAAGGGUGUGGAGGGUGUGUAUUGGUCCCCUUCCGGACCCUGAGGAUGUCUGUCUCUCUAUCCUCUCUAUCUGUGUCCCACCUCUGUGUAUGUGUCUCUAUUUCUGUCAUCCCCCCCACCCCCAUCUUCUAACCUCUAGUCUCCCAAUUCCUAUUUUCAUGAUAAGGAACCAAAGGACUUUGUUCUUGUUGAAUUGGCUGUGAGCAUGGGAUCCUUAUGUGUAUGUGUGUAUAUGUGUGCAUGUAUGCGGUGCAGGGCAGGAAAGGUGACCCAGUGGGACGCGGUCCCUGUGGAACACCAAUGACAGGAGUGUGGUAGAAAGUGCAUAUUGUGAGACCUGUUUCCCUGUCUACUGUGAGCAAUCUUUUUGUUGUUGUUUUUUGGUUUGGUUUGGUUUAGUUUAGUUUUUGGUUUUUGGUUUUGGGUUUUUUUUUUUUUUUUUUUUUUUUUGGCUUUUCGAGACAGGGUUUCUCUCUGUAGCUUUGCGCCUUUCCUGGGACUCAAUCUGUAGCUCAGACUGGCCUUGAACUCACAGAGAUCCGCCUGGCUCUGCCUCCCGAGUUCUGGGAUUAAAGGCGUGUGCCACCACCGCCCAGCUACUCUGAGUAGUCUUGAGUGCCCGUUCUUGGCUGUCUACAUAGUAAGUACCACAGUCGAAGCACACACCUAACACCUGAGGCCCGGAGAAGGAGGGAGACACAGUAGCCUCAGUUUACCCCCUACCCCUCCCUGUUGCCCUACUCCUCACAGGCUGCCUCAGUUCAGCCUCCCUCCCAUGCGUUGUGAGGUUUCCCUCUCCUCCUUAUUCUCACUCAGUUGCAUUUUAUUUAUAUGUUAUGGGUAUGCACAUGCUGCAGCAUACACAUGAAGGUCAGAGACCGUGUGGGAACAGAUUCUGUCUCCCUCUACCUUGUGGGUCCCAGGGAUUGAACUCAGGUUGUCAGAUUUGGCAGCAAGCCCCUUUAUCCACUGAGCCAUCUUGAUGGCCUUUUUUUUUAUUUUGUUUCAUUUUUCAAGACAGCGUUUUUCUGUAUAGCCUUGGCUGUCCUGGAACUCACUCGGUAGACCAGGCUAGCUUCGAACUCAAAGAGAUCCACCUGCCUCCCUGCUGGAAUUAAAGGCAUGAGCCCGGCUUGAUGGCUUUUUUUUUUUUUUUGGAGACAAGGUCUCACUCAUGUAACUGAGACCAGCCUUGAACUCCAGUGUCCACCUCCUAAGUACUGGUAUUACAUAUUUGCGCAUGUUUUCCUUUCUUCAUACCUCUUGUUGGAAACACACCUGGAUGUCUAGCCUCUGCCUUUCUUGCUGAAAAUGUGCAGUUAAUUUUCUCCCUUAGGCUGGAAUGCCCUCAGUGUGUUAAUUUCUUUAGAACAGUUUUUCAGUAUUUAUGUUUUUUUGUGUGUAUGUAUGUGAGAGAGACAGUGUGUGUGUGUGUGUGUGUGUGUGUGUGUGUGUGUGUGUGUGUGUAUACCACAGCACAUAUGUAGGAGACCAAGGACAACUUGAGGAAGUUCCAGGGGUUAAAUUCACGUCCUCAGACUUGGUGGUAAGCUUCUUUACCUGUGAGCUUUAUGGCCUGCCCACAACUUAUUUCAACUAAUGGGAAUAUACUGGGUGAAAUUCUGCACACUGUUUGAAAGUGAUCUCAGACUUGAUCCCUGCUCUCAUGGAAACGUAGGAACUGGCCUACAUGGCCAAAGAGGUAAGUGUGAGGGCAAAACCAUCUCUGGGGCUUGAAGAGCCACCAAGCUUGGCAGGAAGGGUAGGUGACUGGCCCCUUCGUCUCUCGGCCUGAAUCUCCAAGCCCUUCGCAGCCCCCAUGCUUGGGCCUGAACAGACAACAUUUCUGCUCCUCACUGCCAGAUCGCCCGCACUCUCUGACUCCCCCAGGGAUAGCAACAACAAGGGGCCGGGCUGGAGCCUGGGCCCCCAGGACAGCUGGCUAACAAGGCCCCUCUGGGACUCCAGUCUGGGCCCUGGCAUUCAGGAGGCAGCGAUACUGGAGCUGUGACAGUUGGCCCUUAGAUUCCCCACGCCAUGGUGCCAGCUCUGGUUUCGGCCGGGUGAGGGAGGGGAUUAGUUGCCCUCCUGGGACAGGGAGGCAGUAAACAUGGCUCCCUGUGAGGACUUUUCCUCCCUGGGGCGGAGCGCUAGGGUAGAUGUGAGGAGGGGUUUUGGCUAGGGUGACUUGUGUAGCAUAGACUGUAAUGCGCAGGAGGUCAGAGCAGGCGGGCGGGCGGGCGUGGUGGAAGGCAUGUGAAGUCUGACCCUUCUCAUUUGCAGAGACUCGGUUCUGUGACUCCCUUCUGCCUCCUGUACCGGUCUGCUUCCUUUUCAGAAAAGGGAAGAGGAAGUCAGAAAGGGGGGUGAGGAAGGACAUUCCGUUUCCUGAAGGCUCUCUUCUUAGGUUCUUCAAACUUUGUAUUUGAUCUUCUAUUGUUAUUUUAUUACAUGUAUUUAAUGUGUGCAUGUACUGUAUUUAUUCUGAAUGUGGAGGUCAUAGUUGCUCCCCUAUUGUGAAGGCCCCAGGGAUUGAACUCCAGGCCUUAGUGUACUGGGCCACCUAACCUGACCUUUGAUAUCAUUCCAUCUUCAUAAUUCCAUGGAACUGUAAUUUCUUUUUAUUAUUAUUAUUAUUAUUAUUUCCAAGACAAGGUUUCUCUGUGUAGCUUUGGAGCCUGUCCUGGAUCUCGCUUUGUAGACCAGGCUGACCUCAAACUCACAGAGAUCCGCCUGGCUCUGCCUCCCGAGUGCUGGGAUUAAAGGCAUGCGCCCCCACCGCCCGCCUUGGAACUGUAAUUUCUAUCAGUGCUUGACAUCAAGAGAUCUGAGGCUCAGAGAUGGUAAGUGACCUCCCUAGGUUACACAGCUGGGACUUGGGAAUUCCACCGUUCAAAGUUAGAGUUGUCGGACUCCAGCCCUGGACCCCCAGAGGUGGACAGUGGCAUUCAGUGCUUGGAGACCUCAGAGGAGUGACAUUUAAAGUUGGAGCAGUUUGGGGAUACUUCCUGGCUGAGGUGGGUCUGUUGGAACCACUAAAGGAGUGAGGGUCACUGGGAGGGAGGGAGUUGGGGUAGUGUUUCUGGAGGUUGUGUGGGAGAUGGCCAGCGGGGCUUGCUGCUGAGACAGAGUUGCUCACUUUCACGGAUUCUGGGAAGCAUUGAGUACGUGUGGCCACCAGGGGGCGCUGCAGGACAGUCACCUGCCUCCCAGUGGUCAGGUGGGCCAGGCCCCAGGUGCUGCCUGCCUCUGGAACCAUUGGUCUGUGCUCUGCCCUGCACAACUCAGAUUUGGCCUCAAGCCCCCACCUGCCCCUCCAUUUUGGGCAGGACAUCCCACACGUGGAAGACAGGAGACCUUGAUGGCAGUCUAUUCCAGAUCCAGAAUGGAAACCCUAGGUGGCAGAGACCCUCCAGCAGCUUACUCUGCCUUCCUGUCCAGUGCCUUCCUGAGUCCCUUGGAGAAACUGUUCAGGGGAAUUGUGAAGGAUACAGGCGUUUGAGUCCAGCUUGGCUGGGUCUGCAGGGAAAUAAUAACUACCUGAUAAAGAUUUGAAACAUUUCAUCCGGUGAGCAUUGAUUGAACAUUUAUUGUGCUGCACGUUGUCCUAGGCACUGGGCAGACACUAGAGGACAAGGAGGGUGAAACCUGCCCUGGGGUGAAGCCAGUGUUCUAUAGGGUGUUGGGUAGGUGGCAGUGUAUGUAUAUGUAAGUGGUGUCCUUCUGGUAGUGACAGUCACUAUGAAGGAAAUAAAGCAGGGGAUGGAGGCAGAAGGAUUUGAAGUGGUUUGUUUUGGGGGGCUUCUAUUGUUUGUUUUUGGGACAGAGUCUCACUGUGUAGUCCUAGCUGACCUGGAACUCACUAUGUAGACCAGGCUGGCCUCCAGCUCAGUGGUUUGCCUGCCUCUGACUCCUGUGGAGUGCUGAGAUUAAAGACGUACGCCACCAUACUAGGCUCAUUUUGUUUUAUUUUGAAAGGUGCUGUACCCCAUCUGGCCGUGAACUUUCUGUAUUGCUAAAGAGGACAUCCAAGUCCUGACUUCCUGUCCCCACCUCCCAAAUGCGGAGACUAUUGGCGUGUUCCACCGCACCUGCCUGAGGAACCAGGGUCACUGGGGCAUUUCUCCGGGUGCCUGUAAAGCAGCAGGUGGCUGCCUUUGUGGGUGCUACUGUUACUGUUGGCUUGUUUCUUUUUGGUACUCUCCUUCCCCUACACUACCAUUUCUUCCUCUGGAAUCCUUCACACUUCUCUCAACAGCCCUACAUGGUGAACAGGCCCUGGCUUAGGAACUAAGAGCCCCAACUUUUUAAUUCUGGCUCUGGGCCGGGCGGUGGUGGCGCACGCUUUUAAUCCCAGCCCUAGGGAGGCAGAGGCAGGCGGAUCUCUGUGAGUUCAAGGCCCGCCUGGUCUCCAAAGUGAGUUCCAGGAAAGGCACAAAGCUACACAGAGAAACCCUGUCUCCAAAAACAAAAAACAAAACAAAAAAAAAUCUGGCUCUGUCCCCAAAAAGCCCCCACCCCCAGCCUUCCUAACUUCCAGUAAGUGACAUCACCACCCACCUGGUUGCUCAAGCCCGAAAACUGAACCAUCUGGGAUUUCUGCUUUCCUGCGACUUGCACCCAGUACCUCGACAAGGCCUAAAUGAAACCUCAGAGUAUUUCCUGCCAGCCUGGAGAGAUGGUUCAGUGCUUAAAAGCACUGGUUGUUCUUCCAGAAGACCUGAGUUCAAUUCCCAGCACCUACGUGAUAGCUCACAACCUUCAGUUUCAGAGGAUCUAAAGCCCUGUUCCGCCCCCUUUGGGCACCAGGCACACAUGUUGUGUGGACAUACAUGCAGGCAAAACAACCAUACAUUUAAAAUAGAAAAAUUUCCCGGCAUGCAUGGUGGUGUAAUCUGUAAUCCCAACACUUGAGAGGUGGAGGCAGGAAUCAGGAGUUCAAGAGUAGUUGCAUCUACAUACCAACCUUGAGGAGGAUACAUGAGACCCUGUCAAAAAUAUUUAAAAACAAAAAAUGCCCUAAAAUGCUACUUGAAUGUUCUCUGUUGCCGUCUGUCCAUCCAGCUCCCUGGUGUGUAAAGAGUGUCCUCUGUGGCCUGGUUCCUGUCCAGCUGGACCAGCUGUUCCUGUCCUCACUCUCCCUCUGCAUAAUGCUUGUUCAUCUUGCAGGACAGAACUUGACUUGGAUGGCACCUCCCAUAAACCUCCCCUGUCACUUCUGCGUGCCCAUUGGCCACACUGUACAGUACCUGCUUUUGUUUGCUCCUUCAGUACACCGGAAACUCCUGUGAUCCCAGCAUCUGGUACACAGACACUCGCUGUACAGCAGCUGGACACGUUCAUCUCUCCUUGAACAUCCCCUGUCACAUACCCACUGCCAGAUGUUCAACUGCUGCUUCCCACCAUACCUCCCAUUCCAGCACCUCCACCCCUGGCCCUCGGUCCUCCGGCCAGCAAGGGGUACUGUCUGCAUGAGAUUUGCCAUGGAAUGUCCUGGGUCCCUCUGCUCUGCAGCACCUAAUCUGGAGCUCCCAAACUACGAAUGCCAUCCACGACCUCACUGGGGAUCACGUGCUCUGGGAUGACGUGCACACCUCCCGAGGCUGCGCUGGCUGGCCCCGUGUGCUUACCCUUCCUUUGCGCUCAGCUCAUGUGUUAAAAACCAGUUUGCGUGUUCUGCAUGCCGCACCAGCAUGAAAGCUGUCUUAGGAUAUCACCCGGGUGUCUCUAUAAAGUCUGGCACACAGCAGGUACUGUUGAUAAAUGUGUUUGUCGAGUCAAUGAAUGAAUAAAAGAAGGAAAAAAGAAUCA